CAGUAGCCGCGGUAAUACGUAGGUGGCAAGCGUUGUCCGGAAUUAUUGGGCGUAAAGGGCUCGCAGGCGGUUUCUUGAGUCUGAUGUGAAAGCCCCCGGCUCAACCGGGGAGGGUCAUUGGAAACUGGGAAACUUGAGUGCAGAAGAGGAGAGUGGAAUUCCACGUGUAGCGGUGAAAUGCGUAGAGAUGUGGAGGAACACCAGUGGCGAAGGCGACUCUCUGGUCUGUAACUGACGCUGAGGAGCGAAAGCGUGGGGAGCGAACAGGAUUAGAGACCCCGGUAGUCCCUGUCUCUUAUAC
rnacentral:rRNA from 1 species